CAAAGAUUAAGCCAUGCAUGUCUAAGUACAUGCCGAAAUAAGGUGAAACCGCGAAUGGCUCAUUAUCCAGCCGUUGUUCCUUAGAUCGUACUUUCCUACUUGGAUAACUGUGGUAAUUCUAGAGCUAAUACAUGCAACAAAGCUCCGACCUCACGGGACGAGCGCAUUUAUUAGACCAAGACCAAUCGGACUUCGGUCCGCAAAUGAUGGUGACUCUGGAUAACUUUUGGCUGAUCGCACGGUCUAGCACCGGCGACGCAUCUUUCAAGUGUCUGCCUUAUCAACUGUCGAUGGUAGGUUAUGCGCCUACCAUGGUCGUAACGGGUAACGGGGAAUCAGGGUUCGAUUCCGGAGAGGGAGCCUGAGAAACGGCUACCACAUCC
rnacentral:rRNA from 1 species